CAGCCGCCGCGGGAAUACGAAGGGUGCAAGCGUUACUCGGAAUUACUGGGCGUAAAGCGUGCGUAGGUGGUGGUUUAAGUCCGUUGUGAAAGCCCUGGGCUCAACCUGGGAAUUGCAGUGGAUACUGGGUCACUAGAGUGUGGUAGAGGAUAGUGGAAUUUCCGGUGUAGCAGUGAAAUGCGUAGAGAUCGGAAGGAACAUCUGUGGCGAAGGCGACUAUCUGGGCCAACACUGACACUGAGGCACGAAAGCGUGGGGAGCAAACAGGAUUAGAUACCCCCGUAGUCCCUGUCUCUUAUAC
rnacentral:rRNA from 1 species